rnacentral:rRNA from 1 species
UACGGAGGGGGCUAGCGUUGUUCGGAAUUACUGGGCGUAAAGCGCACGUAGGCGGCUUGGUAAGUUAGAGGUGAAAGCCUGGAGCUCAACUCCAGAAUUGCCUUUAAGACUGCCGAGCUAGCAGGUGAGAGAGGUGAGUGGAAUUCCGAGUGUAGAGGUGAAAUUCGUAGAUAUUCGGAAGAACACCAGUGGUGAAGGCGGCUCACUGGCUCAUACUGGACGCUGAGGUGCGAAAGCGUGGGGAGCAAACAGG